AAGGGUGAAAAGGUGGGGUAAGAGCCCACCGCUGGUCGAGCAAUCGAUCAGGCAUGGUAAACCCAAUCCGAUGCAAGACGAAAUAGGAAACCGGGCUGCCCGUCUAUGGUUUCGGGUACGUCGCACCCCGCAGCAGUGGGGAUCUGAGCAUUUGGUCAGAUAGAUAAAUGAAUGGCGACCGUUCUCUGGCUUUUGUUUUUGAAUGGUUACAGAAUCCGGCUUACAGCUUCUCGGAAUCC
rnacentral:RNase_P_RNA from 1 species